AAACUGUGGUAACGCCCGGUUUCAUAAUCAACUUAAAGUGAACAUUAACUAAAGUUCACUUUAAGGUUGACAUUACGGCCGAUUUCAUAAUGAAGUUAAAGGAGGCUUUAAAUUUAAAGUUGCCUUUAACUUGAGAUUUUCAUUUCAUAAUCAAGUUAAAGGGCCCUUUUUAUCAAAAGCCCUCUUUAACUUUAAAGUGCAGAUUUCGGACCUUUAAGUUGCUAAAGUCUCCUUUAAAGGAUACAUAACCUAUUUUGUUGAGAUGAAAACACAGUUGUUUUUGUAUUUAACUUUUAAGGUUAACAUAACAGUCAAUAAUAAUUAUUAUAUUAUUACUAGGAUUAAUUAAUUGUACUUUAAAAGUACAAUUAUGUAUAAUUUUGAAACGUCUAGUUCAAGAAAUUUAUUGUAUUCAGAAGACCAAAAAUUAACCAGAACAGAUAACAAACUGUUUUGAACAAUAAUAAUAUGAUGAUCUGGAUUUUUAUCAAAGAUUUAGGUUGAAAACACACAGUUUUGUGUGCCUUCUUAAAUAUAAAACCAAAUAACCUUGCCUACUAUUAGUGGUGGAUGCCAUGCAUUACUCCCAUGCAACAAAUUCUGUUGGAUUUUAUGCAUCAGGAAGUAUGCAAUUAAAAGUAGCUGAUUUUACGGCAGUGUCCAGAGGUUCAGCAAGUAGAAUUAUAAAAAUAUUAUCCUUUACAAUUGCAAGAAUCAUCAAGAGAUGGAAAGCUGUUGAAUAUUUUUACAAGAUUGCUUUAUUCCCUAGAAUAAUGAGUGCAAUGGGUUAUACUUUAAUUAAAAUACAUUCUGCAGGUGUCCAGGAUGCAGAAAUUUUCAGGUCCAGAAAAUCAUGGUUUGCAUUGAAUGUUCAGUUAGUGAUGCAAAAUUUAAAAUUAGAGAUAUUGUUGUACUGUGGUCAUCAAAUACGACAUAGGCUGAAGCAUAAUUCAGGGGCUUAGAAUCACACAAAUGUAGCUACAUUUUGUUUUAUUUUCGUCUACAGAAAUAUUAGAGUUACGGUAACUGAACGUUAUAAUAUGUAGGUACCUAGCCUAGGUAUGCAUGUCCAAAUCAGAACUAAAGCAGGUGGACAUAUCUUCAUGUGAAUCUUAAAUAAGAAGUUUAAUGUAGUUAUGUUUGUUUGACCCUAACCCCCUGAAUUUUGAAAGUGGUAUCUUUGGCCAUUACAUAUUGGUUGGUGACAGUGAUGAACAAGGAAUAUAGUAGAACAGCAAUAUGGGUUGUGGAAAUGAAGAUUUCCUAUACUCCGCUUAGGAAUGAGACUACAAUUAGAAAACAUGACUGUGCUUGUUGCAACUAGAGUGCUUCAUAAUAUUGCCAUUGAUAUGGAUGACAAUUUUCCUGUGAAUAAAACUAAAGAUGAAGCAAGCAAUGAAUAAUUACAACAGAUAAAAAAUAAUGAAAAUAUUUCAGAAAACAAUAUAACUGUGUUAAUAAAUGAACACUUUGGUAGAUUGUAAAUAUAUUUAUUAAUAAAAACAAAAUGAAUGUA